rnacentral:tRNA from 1 species
UCCCUGGUGGCUUCAGACAGUAAAGCGUCUGCCUGCAAUGCAGGAGACCCAGGUUGGAUCCCUGGUCUGGGAG